rnacentral:rRNA from 1 species
UCUUAUCACAAAAGUAUCCUGAAGGCAUCAAGUCUCCUCUGACUUUGGAAGUUAAGCAGGGCUAGGCCUAGCUAGUAUACGGAUGGGAGGCCACCAGAGAAUAACAGGUUUUUAAAAU